rnacentral:rRNA from 1 species
UAGUCCACACCGUAAACGAUGGAUGCUAGCCGUUGGGCAGUUUACUGUUCAGUGGCGCAGCUAACGCAUUAAGCAUCCCGCCUGGGGAGUACGGUCGCAAGGUUAAAACUCAAAUGAAUUGACGGGGGCCCGCACAAGCGGUGGAGCAUGUGGUUUAAUUCGAUGCAACGCGAAGAACCUUACCUACACUUGACAUACAGAGAACUUACUAGAGAUAGUUUGGUGCCUUCGGGAACUCUGAUACAGGUGCUGCAUGGCUGUCGUCAGCUCGUGUUGUGAGAUGUUGGGUUAAGUCCCGCAACGAGCGCAACCCCUAUCCUUAGUUGCUAGCAGGUAAUGCUGAGAACUCUAAGGAGACUGCCGGUGACAAACCGGAGGAAGGUGGGGAUGACGUCAGGUCAUCAUGGCCCUUACGGCCAGGGCUACACACGUGCUACAAUGGCGCGCACAGAGGGCUGCAAACUCGCGAGAGUGAGCCAAUCUCAUAAA